rnacentral:rRNA from 1 species
GACGAGCGCUGGCGGCGUGCCUAAUACAUGCAAGUAGAACGCUGAAGAGAGGAGCUUGCUCUUCUUGGAUGAGUUGCGAACGGGUGAGUAACGCGUAGGUAACCUGCCUGGUAGCGGGGGAUAACUAUUGGAAACGAUAGCUAAUACCGCAUAAAAUUGAUUAUUGCAUGAUACUUAAUUGAAAGAUGCAACUGCAUCACUACCAGAUGGACCUGCGUUGUAUUAGCUAGUUGGUGAGGUAACGGCUCACCAAGGCGACGAUACAUAGCCGACCUGAGAGGGUGAUCGGCCACACUGGGACUGAGACACGGCCCAGACUCCUACGGGAGGCAGCAGUAGGGAAUCUUCGGCAAUGGGGGGAACCCUGACCGAGCAACGCCGCGUGAGUGAAGAAGGUUGUCGGAUCGUAAAGCUCUGUUGUAAGAGAAGAACGGGUGUGAGAGUGGAAAGUUCACACUGUGACGGUAGCUUACCAGAAAGGGACGGCUAACUACGUG